rnacentral:rRNA from 1 species
CACGUAGGGGGCAAGCGUUGUCCGGAUUUAUUGGGCGUAAAGAGCUCGUAGGUGGUUCGGUAAGUCGGGUGUUAAACCCCCAGGCUCAACCUGGGGACGCCACUCGAUACUGCUGUGACUUGAGUCCGGUAGGGGAGCGUGGAAUUCCUGGUGUAGCGGUGAAAUGCGCAGAUAUCAGGAGGAACACCAGCGGCGAAGGCGGCGCUCUGGGCCGGUACUGACACUGAGGAGCGAAAGCGUGGGUAGCAAACAGG